rnacentral:sRNA from 1 species
GGGGUUCCGGAAAGCUUUCAGCUUUAAGCCAGUUAUUAAAACCCCUUUUGAUUUGUUAAAACAUCUUGCGGUCUGGCAACUGCAAAAGUUCAACAAGAAAUCAAAAG